rnacentral:rRNA from 1 species
CCUACGGGUGGCAGCAGUAGGGAAUCUUCCACAAUGGACGAAAGUCUGAUGGAGCAACGCCGCGUGUGUGAUGAAGGGUUUCGGCUCGUAAAACACUGUUGUAAGAGAAGAAUGACAUUGAGAGUAACUGUUCAGUGUGUGACGGUAUCUUACCAGAAAGGAACGGCUAAAUACGUGCCAGCAGCCGCGGUAAUACGUAUGUUCCCAGCGUUAUCCGGAUUUAUUGGGCGUAAAGCGAGCGCAGACGGGUGUUAAAGGCCGAAGUGAAACUCCAGAGCUGAACGGGGGAAGUGCCUUGGAAACGGGAUAACUUGAGUAAAGUAGAGGAGAGUGGAACUCCAUGUGUAGCGGUGAAAUGCGUAGAUAUAUGGAAGAACACCAGUGGCGAAGGCGGCUCUCUGGACUGUAACUGACGUUGAGGCUCGAAAGUGGGGGUAGCAAACAGGAUUAGAUACCCCUGUAGUC